GGGGGUUAUGGCACAGGUUGGCUGGAGGCAGCCAUGGCGCGAACAGGGGUGAGGGGAGCUGGAGACUCAAGCCAGGGGACUAGAAGAAGUUACUAAGGGAGAAACUGGACGGGGCCCCGCCAAGAAGUCAUCAAUGCACUGGGCAUCCUCGUGAAGAGCAAAAGUGAUUUAAAAAUAGAAAACUUACUCUCUCUGAGCUCUAUUUCUCUUGUAUUUUAGUAGAGCUCAGUGAAUCAAGCAAACAACGUGGCCCCACUCUAACUGCUGUGAUUGCUCACGCUAUCAUUUCCCAGAACGCUGAAGGAUAAAUACAGCUGCGUUUAAACAUUUUUAAGUGUGUUUAUAGCGACUCUGGCAGUUUCCUGGGUUCCUUCAUUCAGAAGAACCAGAAACAUGACCUGGAUGGAAGGAGCAGUUCAGUCCCAUCAGACAAGAGCUCCUGGGUACUGCUUUUGUGGUGUUCCUUCUGAAUGUUAACUUACCCAAUAAAAACAAUUGCAGGAAGCAUACCAUUUCCCAUAUUGCCCCCAUAUUGUCCAUUUACAGCUAUUUGACCACAACAGGUUGUAUGAAACUUGGAGAACAUUACUGACGCUUUUACUGUUGGAAGGGGUCCCAGAAGCACUUCUGUUAUCUGAGGGAGCCCAUUCCCUGAGAAAAUCUGGGGUUAGCAGCAGAGAUUAAUUUCCUAGUGCUGUGACUGCAAACUCAUCAGAACUUAUUACCCCAAGAGAUUGACCAACAUCCUCCUUAAAGAUCAGCAAAAAGGAUUUUAAGCAGCAGCUUUAUCCCAAGUGAAAUUAGACUUGAAUUACAGGAAAGAACAAAGACAACAUAUGUUUUUCUGUCACACCCUGAUCAUCCUAUGUGUUUUGAGGGGCUCUAGCUCAGCUUGUAUCAUCAACUUGAAAAGGUAUGCUUUAUAUCAAUAAAAAUCGUUAGAGUUGGAA